ACGUGUGUGUAUGUGCAUGUGUGUCAGGUCUCUGUGAGCACCAGCGUUCAUGUUUUUGUUUUAUUUCACUUUAGGAUUUCUUUAAAUUACUCUGCUGCGGUUUUAAUGUGUGAAGACAAACAUGUUUUUUGAUGGUCUGAUCAGAACUCUUGACGAUAAUGAUGACGUGCCAGAGGAAUCAGACUCAGCGUCUGAUAAUGAAGCCGAUGAGCCGAUCGUGUUGAGUAAAGAGAAGCGAGCUCUGAAGGGUCGAGGCGCUGGAGACUUCGAUGCAGGUUUUGAGUUUGGAGAGCGUGAUGGUCUGUACAGUGAUGACUGGAUCAUGGCAGAUGUUAUGGCUCAGCUGAAGAAGAGGACCCAAGAACUCCAAGCAGCCUGAACGUGAAGAGAAGAGGGUGUUGGGUUUGGUUUUGCUUCGAGUAGAGAAUCUCGUUUCUAUGACUGUUGAAGGUCCUCCACCCAAAGAUACUGGCAUUGCCCGUGUACCACUGGC